rfam:Triticum aestivum genome assembly, contig: Triticum_aestivum_CS42_TGACv1_scaffold_501395_6BL
AAGGUACUUCCUCCAUCCGGAAAUACUUGUCACACGAAUGGAUAUAAAUAGAUGCAUCUAAAACUAAAAUAGUCUUAGAUACAUUCAUUCCUCUGACAAGUAUUUUCGGACGGAGGGAGUACUAA